rnacentral:sRNA from 1 species
AACAAGCGCACAGAUGGUCGUUGCGUUG